UCGCGCCGGGAACUCCAUUCCCCUCUUCCUGGUUGCACAUGGCGGCUCGAUCUGUUCCGCUCCAUCGCCAAGGCCCGGCUACCCUCCUAGCAACUAGCACGUUCUGCUCGCUAUUCCCGUCUACUGCAGGCAUUUGUUCAGGCCCCGCAUCUCGUCUAAUUACAUGCGUUUAUCCAUGCCCUGCAGGCCUGCACCACGAGGCCGAUCACCUACAAUAAUGCUUGCCGCUGUGUUACAUGUUACCCCAUCAACAGCGAUCUGGAUCCACUACGAGGAGUCCCUCUGCUGGUUCGGUCCUCACGGAAACGAUAGAUUAAUCUGGUCGUGUUACAAGGAAAGUUUCUUUCGUCCUCCUGGAAUCAGCUGUUAAGUUCCAUCGACUGUAUUGUAUGAUAUUAACUCUGCAACAUAUACAUUGGAAUAUCAUGCACUCACAUGUUUCUUUUUUGUAGGAUUGUCCGAUUCUGCAACCCAUAUUGCACAUGGCACGCCCACAACCUGUUCUGAUAUAUUUCCCUGUCCGAGACUACGAACUUUUACUAGGUUAAUUCUCCUUUUCCCAUUUCCUCAUUUAUCUGCUAUGAAUUCGUGUUUAUUGGAAAUUUGAAUUGUCCCUGGAUGUUUGAUGAGUGAAAAGAUAUGCUCUUAUCCAUCUAGAAAAACAUGUCUGUACUUUUAUCUGACCUUCAUCUGAAAUUUGUGGACACUUAAAUGAUAGAAAUGUCGUUGUUGCUAAGACAGAUAUGAAAUGCACGCACACACUAGAGAGAAAUACUCUCACGAUGGACACAUGGAGCUGAAGCAAACUUUCUGUUUCUCACUUAUUUUGUUACUUUGUACAUUUAGAGAAGACUAAUACAUUAUACAUGUCCUUUUAAACUUAAAGUCCAGCUGCCAUAGCAACUUGACCUUUGACUAGUUGCAGUCCUGCAUACUGGCCUGAAGCCCUGAACACUAUCCUGACUUGCAGCAGCUUAUCACCUAAUGCAGCUUACAUUUACUUGCUGCUACUUGUUCACACACACUAGUUCCUUAGUAGCACAUGCACAUACUAGUAGCACAUGCAUGAGUUGUACUAGUAGCUCGUGCAUGACUUGUACCCAACAGGUUUGCUUAAUCUAACAAGAGGGGUCCUUGAAAUCCGCUGAUUGCAGCGAUGGCCUCACUAUACCUGGGAGCAUGGAGGUGUCGAAGAGACCCGCAUGCCCUGUGCUAGUUAGAAUUCCAGUUCUUUGGGAGUACCUAGGGUUAGUCUAAUUGAGUUGUACCUAAUAGCUAGUUUCAUGUUGAACUAUAUAUAAGUCUAUUACAGAACCAAGCAUUUAUAUUGUUCGGAAGCUAGGUCCUGGUUGUGGAUGAGCAGCACAAGCAAAUUAAAGCUGGUAACAAAGAUGCUCUCCAGGCUUUGCAGGAUCCAGUGUACAGGGAGGUAAUGACAAGAGCGAUCACGGAGGCAGAGAUCGAUGGUGAGGGAAGCUAGAGAUCAGACGGCUGAAUCUUUUGUCAGACUAGGCUAGCGGAGGACUAAAAAAUAACGC